rnacentral:rRNA from 1 species
UACGGAGGGUGCAAGCGUUAAUCGGAAUUACUGGGCGUAAAGGGUGCGUAGGCGGUUGUUUAAGUCUGCCGUGAAAUCCCCGGGCUCAACCUGGGAAUGGCGAUGGAUACUGGACAGCUAGAGUGUGUCAGAGGAUGGUGGAAUUCCCGGUGUAGCGGUGAAAUGCGUAGAGAUCGGGAGGAACAUCAGUGGCGAAGGCGGCCAUCUGGGACAACACUGACGCUGAAGCACGAAAGCGUGGGGAUCAAACAGG